CUCAGUUCUCUCCCUCUCCCCGAGCUGCACCACACACACACACACGAACGCUUUCUCUCUCGCAACCCACCAUCACUCCCUUCCCCAUGCGAGUUCCACAAGCUUGGAACGAAAUGACAACCGUAGCAUGUGCACCGUAGCUACUCCACCGUGCAGUUCGUUUUCCGGCGAGCCCUUAUUGUAGGUUUAAACGUGAAAACUGCUCGGGGAGCAUCCUCCAUAUUUUUUCCUGCGAAUAUCCGGUGGCUUCGAGCCAUUUUUCUGGCCAAAUCCCACCACGUUUGUGGAAACCAAAGGUGUAUAUAUUGUGGCGAUUCCGUCUUCUUUAGUUUGUGUGGCUCUUCGACGGCGA